AUGUCAAUGCGUAUUUCUUUGGGUUACAGAAAACAGAUAAAGGGCACAGAAGGAACACCCUUCAAAGAGAGAGCAGCUGUGGGACCCCCGAGACACCCCAGGGCUCUGGAGCGCACACUUCCACAGUCACCGGGCCCGGAGCGGGAGUCAAGAAGUAGAGACUCGUCUGUGCUCAACACCAGCAGACGCAGAGAUUUGCGAUAUAAGAUGUCAACACGGCAACGAGUUGCUGGCAGGAAAGCGUGGAAUGCGAGUGGCUUGCAGGUUGGCCCCGUGAUAGCGUCCCUUCUGCUCCUGCGCCCCCGGGACCCCCCAGGAGGAGCAGGCGAGGGCAGCUGCUUGCACCCGGGCCCGGCGGCCUGGGCAGCGAGGCCUCCCCUGUCCUCUGGCCUCAGUGUACCCCCUCCGAGGCGGCAAGAACCAUUUUUUGAUAAAAGAGACUAAAGUGAGCGUGUCCUCGAGCUGGCGGCUACAGAGGGCCGAGCGGUGUCUCUCCAGGGCCAAUGGUGUUCUCUAGGACUGUGCCUUGCUUUUACAAACUCCAUUUGAUCUUAUUCUGUACUUUUCUGGAUUCUGAUUGGAUUUUGCCAGUCUUUUAUGUUAGAUAUUGAUGUUUUAGAUAGGAAGAUAGUUUCUCCCUAUCUUCCUACGAGUUAAGUAGCAUUCUGAUAUUAAAUUACUAUAUAAUGAGUUUAGUUAGUGUUGCUUAGGAUCCAAGUGCCUAAUAGCCUGUGGAUGAUUAAAAAUCAUGUUUUCCAAAGUGCAGAGCUGCGGACUAAACCUUGUAAUGGCAACUACUAUUGACAGAAUUGCCAUCCUUUGUGGCUGAAGCAGGCAUUGUGCAUAUUUUAAUUUUAAAAAAUGUUCCAGUAUAAAAAGAAGAGAUCUAUUUCCCUGGAAAGCCAGAUUCCCCCAGGGCUGUGUGGCUUCUUGGGACCCGCUCUUCACACCUGGUCCUCUGGGCCCCUGGGCUGCCGCCUUAGGUCCAGGCGUCUCCUCGGGGUGCUUCCUGCGCCUCCAGAAACUCUCCUGCUUCUGCCUGACAGUCUGCAGGACCACUUCAAAGCAGGGCUCCUCCAACCCUGGCCAAGCUGCUUCAGGGCAUUUAAAGGAAAGCAGACCCCCGUCUUUUCACUGGAAGUUUGUCAUACGAGAGAGAAGGCUGUUCGUGCAGGUGUGUGUCCUUUGACCUCCAGAACCCUCCGCUCCCCCCCCCCAGUCCUGCCCCAAGCCGGGCUGUGGCCUGGGAGCCCCAGCUCACGGUCCAGGUAGCCAGGAGACCCUUGGGCAAGGGCCCCAGUAGCCGCCACCUGUCGGGAGCAGGAGAUGGCUGGGUCGCAGUCCUAACUGCAGCAUCCUCCGGCCACCAACCCUCAACACGGCAGUCGUGCCUCAUUUCCGUCAUCUGUAAAAUAGGAAUGAUAUCAUGACCCCAUGUCAUUGA
rnacentral:lncRNA from 12 species